CUCAUCAGCGAUCAUAGCAAUAAGAGCUGAGUUGCUAGUUUUGAUAGGAGCUCGGUUAGCCAUCUGAGAGAACAAGGUUUCUGCAAUCACAUAAGAGCAGGGGGGAAAAAGCAGUUUUAAGCAAAUCUAGAAUCACAAAACAACAGCUUUGAUUCAGAAAGUAAGCAUCUUGAACAGAUUGACACAUUCAGAUGUCAAAUCAAAUCCUAAACUAUUAAUAAAACACCACCAAAAAUCAGAUGUAAACUAAAGAUUUAAACAAAUUUCAACUUCUUAAUGAUAUCAAAUAAACUAAAUAAUCAGAUCGAAAUACUCUGAAAUAACAAAAUUGAAUGGAGAAGAAGUAUUGUAGUAGUGAGUGCAACAGUUUUUAAAGCGUACUUUGAAGUAUUUAGCUUCAAUUUGAGGGAUCCAAUCUCUAGAGACGAAUCGAGGAAUGAAGAGGGAGAAGGCUGAUGCUAUUUGUGUGGAAAAGGAGGAAGUUGAAACUGAAAAGGAGGUACUGAGAGUGUCGGUUAAGCCCCAAAAGUUCCAACGUGCUCACAACUGCCCACCUUCUUAGUUUAACCCAAAGAAAGA
rnacentral:lncRNA from 1 species